rnacentral:rRNA from 1 species
AUUGAACGCUGGCGGCAGGCUUAACACAUGCAAGUCGAGCGAGCGGCGGACGGGUGAGUAAUGUCUGGGAAACUGCCUGAUGGAGGGGGAUAACUACUGGAAACGGUAGCUAAUACCGCAUACCAUCAGAUGUGCCCAGAUGGGAUUAGCUAGUAGGUGGGGUAAUGGCUCACCUGGGCGACGAUCCCUAGCGGGUCUGAGAGGAUGACCAGCAACACUGGAAUGGAAACAGGUUCCAGACGCCUACGGGAGGAAGCAGUGGGGAAUAUUGCCCAAGGGGCGCAAGCCUGAUGCAGCCAUGCCGCGGGUGUGAAGAAGGCCUUCGGGUUGUAAAGCACUUUCAGCGAGGAGGCGUUACUCGCAGAAGAAGCACCGGCUAACUCCGUGCCAGCAGCCGCGGUAAUUC